rnacentral:rRNA from 1 species
UACGUAGGGUCCGAGCGUUGUCCGGAAUUACUGGGCGUAAAGAGCUCGUAGGUGGUUUGUCGCGUUGUCCGUGAAAACUCACAGCUUAACUGUGGGCGUGCGGGCGAUACGGGCAGACUGGAGUACUGCAGGGGAGACUGGAAUUCCUGGUGUAGCGGUGGAAUGCGCAGAUAUCAGGAGGAACACCAAUGGCGAAGGCAGAUCUCUGGGCCGUAACUGACGCUGAGGAGCGAAAGCAUGGGGAGCGAACAGG